rnacentral:lncRNA from 1 species
UCUACUUUGGAGGGUCAUAUCUCCUAGCACACAAAUUAUUUGGGUGGCCAAUAAUAUAUCCAUGGAAAGCCCUUUGAGUUAGCUACCUAACGCACUUCGUUUCACCUCAUUCGGAGUUCGGACGAAGAAGUUAUGCCCAUUUUCGUAAAAUCUAUCCGGCAGGAAAUGCAAAUUUCCAGUGACCGAAAUUACUGUUCACC